UGCCGGAAUAGCUCAGUUGGUAGAGCAGAGGACUGAAAAUCCUCGUGUC
rnacentral:tRNA from 16 species